rnacentral:rRNA from 1 species
UGGGGAAUAUUGCACAAUGGGCGCAAGCCUGAUGCAGCAACGCCGCGUGAACGAUGAAGGUCUUCGGAUCGUAAAGUUCUGUUGCAGGGGAAGAUAAUGACGGUACCCUGUGAGGAAGCCCCGGCUAACUACGUGCCAGCAGCCGCGGUAAUACGUAGGGGGCUAGCGUUGUCCGGAAUCACUGGGCGUAAAGGGUUCGCAGGCGGAAUAACAAGUCAGAUGUGAAAGGCAUGGGCGCAACCCAUGUAAGCAUUUGAAACUGUAAUUCUUGAGAAGGAGAGAGGUAAGUGGAACUCCUAGAGUAGCGGUGAAAGGCGUAGAUAUUAGGAGGAAUACCUGUGGGGAAGGCGACUUACUGGACAGAAAUCUGUCGCUGAGGAACGAAAGCGUGGGUAGCAAACAGG